rnacentral:rRNA from 1 species
UGAAUACGAGACGCUAAGGCGUCGAAGUAGUGUAUGUCAUACUUCCAAGAAAAGCUUGCACUGUCAUAGAUAAAAAACGCCUGUACCAUAACCGACACAGGUGGGUAGGUAGAGUAUACUAAGGGGCGCGAGAUAACUCUCUCUAAGGAACUCGGCAAAAUAACUCCGUAACUUCGGGAGAAGGAGUGCCUUAUUCGUAAGGUUGCAAUAACAAGAUCCAAGCAACUGUUUAUCAAAAACACAGGUCUCCGCUAAGUCGUAAGACGAUGUAUGGGGGCUGACGCCUGCCCAGUGCCAGAAGGUUAAAGAAGUUGGUUAGCAAUUGCGAAGCUGAUAACUGAAGCCCUGGUGAACGGCGGCCGUAACAAUAACGGUCCUAAGGUAGCGAAAUUCCUUCUCGGGUAAGUUCCGACCCGCACGAAAGGCGUAAUGAUUUGGAUACUGUCUCGGAGAGGGGCUCGGUGAAAUAGACUUGUCUGUGAAGAUGCGGACUACCUGCACCAGGACAGAAAGACCCUAUGAAGCUUUACUGUAACUUGAAAUUGAAAUUGGACUUUAUUCGCGCAGUAUAGGUGGGAGGCGUUGAUCAUAAUCUUGUGGGAUUAUUGGAGCCAUCAGUGAGAUACCACUCUUGUAAUGUUAGAUUUCUAACUUUGAAUCAUUAUCUGGUCAAAGAACAGUUUCAGGCGGGCAGUUUGACUGGGGCGGUCGCCUCCUAAACGGUAACGGAGGCGUACAAAGGUUUCCUCUGAACGGUUAGAAAUCGUAUCUAGAGUGUAAAGGCAUAAGGAAGCUUGACUGUGAGACCUACAAGUCGAGCAGGGACGAAAGUCGGUCUUAGUGAUCUGACGGUACUGAGUGGAAAGGCCGUCACUCAACGGAUAAAAGUCACUCUAAGGAUAACAGGCUGAUCUCCCCCAAGAGUUCACAUCGACGGGGAGGUUUGGCUCCUCGAUGUCGGCUCAUCGCAUCCUGGGGCGGUAGUACGUCCCAAGGGUUGGGCUGUUCGCCCAUGAAAGCGGUACGCGAGCUGGGUUCAGAACGUCGUGAGACAGUUCGGUCCAUAUCCGGUGUAGGCGUUAGAAUAUUGAGAGGAGCCUUCUUUAGUACGAGAGGACCGAGAAGGACAUACCUCUGGUGUACCAGUUAUCGUGCCAACGGUAAACGCUGGGUAGCUAUGUAUGGAGUGGAUAACCGCUGAAAGCAUCUAAGUGGGAAGCCCACCUCAAGAUAAGUA